UAACGCGAAGAACCUUACCAAGGCUUGACAUACACCGGAAACGGCCAUAGAUGGUCGCCCCCUUGUGGUCGGUGUACAGGUGGUGCAUGGUUGUCGUCAGCUCGUGUCGUGAGAUGUUGGGUUAAGUCCCGCAACGAGCGCAACCCUCGUUCUAUGUUGCCAGCGCGUUAUGGCGGGGACUCAUAGGAGACUGCCGGGGUCAACUCGGAGGAAGGUGGGGAUGACGUCAAAUCAUCAUGCCCCUUAUGUCUUGGGCUUCACGCAUGCUACAAUGGCCGGUACAAAGGGCUGCAAUACCGUAAGGUGGAGCGAAUCCCAAAAAGCCGGUCUCAGUUCGGAUUGAGGUCUGCAACUCGACCUCAUGAAGUCGGAGUCGCUAGUAAUCGCAGAUCAGCA
rnacentral:rRNA from 1 species